rnacentral:rRNA from 1 species
CAGCCGCCGCGGGAAUACGAAGGGGGCUAGCGUUGCUCGGAAUGACUGGGCGUAAAGGGCGCGUAGGCGGAUUGUUUAGUUAGGCGUGAAAUUCCUGGGCUUAACCUGGGGACUGCGCUUAAUACAGGCAGUCUAGAGUGAGGAAGAGGGUUGUGGAAUUCCCAGUGUAGAGGUGAAAUUCGUAGAUAUUGGGAAGAACACCGGUGGCGAAGGCGGCAACCUGGUCCUUGACUGACGCUGAGGCGCGAAAGCGUGGGGAGCAAACAGGAUUAGAUACCCCGGUAGUCCCUGUCUCUUAUAA